GUACUAGCUUCGGCAGCAUAUAUAAUAAAAUUGGAAUGAUACAGAGAGUAGCAUGGCUCCUGUGCAAGGAUAAUAUAAAAAUCCAUGGUGUUCCAUAUUUUU
rnacentral:snRNA from 1 species